AGCAGCCGCGGUAAUUCCAGCUCCAAUAGCGUAUAUUAAAGUUGUUGCAGUUAAAAAGCUCGUAGUUGAAUUUCGGGAUCAAUAUAUUGGUCAUGCUUAGGUAUGUACUGGUAUUAUUGAUUUCUCCCUUCUGAAGAACCAUAAUGUCAUUAAUUUGAUGUCAUGGGGAAUCAGGACUGUUACUUUGAAAAAUUAGAGUGUUUAAAGCAGGCUUUCGCUUGAAUACAUUAGCAUGGAAUAAUGAAAUAGGACGUUUGAUUCUAUUUUGUUGGUUUCUAGGAUCGACGUAAUGAUUAAUAGAGAUAGUUGGGGGCAUUAGUAUUCAAUUGUCAGAGGUGAAAUUCUUGGAUUUAUUGAAGACUAACUACUGCGAAAGCAUUUGCCAAGGAUGUUUUCAUUAAUCAAGGACGAAAGUUAGGGGAUCGAAGACGAUCAGAUACCGUCGUAGUCUUAACCAUAAACUAUGCCGACUAGGGAUCGGAUGAUGUUAACUUUUUAUGA
rnacentral:rRNA from 1 species